rnacentral:rRNA from 1 species
CGAACGGGUGAGUAAUGCGUGACCAACCUGCCCCAUGCUCCAGAAUAGCUCUUGGAAACGGGUGGUAAUGCUGGAUGCUCCAACUUGACGCGUGUCUUGUUGGGAAAGUGUUUAGUGGCAUGGGAUGGGGUCGCGUCCUAUCAGCUUGUAGGCGGGGUAAUGGCCCACCUAGGCUUCGACGGGUAGCCGGCCUGAGAGGGCGGACGGCCACAUUGGGACUGAGAUACGGCCCAGACUCCUACGGGAGGCAGCAGCC